CAGUCGCCGCGGUAAUACGUAGGUCCCGAGCGUUGUCCGGAUUUAUUGGGCGUAAAGGGAGCGCAGGCGGUUUAGUAAGUCUGAAGUUAAAGGCAUUGGCUCAACCAAUGUAUGCUUUGGAAACUGUUAGACUUGAGUGCAGAAGGGGAGAGUGGAAUUCCAUGUGUAGCGGUGAAAUGCGUAGAUAUAUGGAGGAACACCGGUGGCGAAAGCGGCUCUCUGGUCUGUCACUGACGCUGAGGCUCGAAAGCGUGGGUAGCGAACAGGAUUAGAUACCCCUGUAGUCCCUGUCUCUUAUACA
rnacentral:rRNA from 1 species